rnacentral:rRNA from 1 species
GUAGGUGGCAAGCGUUGUCCGGAAUUAUUGGGCGUAAAGCGCGCGCAGGCGGUUCUUUAAGUCUGAUGUGAAAGCCCACGGCUCAACCGUGGAUGGUCAUUGGAAACUGGAGAACUUGAGUACAGAAGAGGAAAGCGGAACUCCACGUGUAGCGGUGAAAUGCGUAGAGAUGUGGAGGAACACCAGUGGCGAAGGCGGCUUUCUGGUCUGUAACUGACGCUGAGGCGCGAAAGCGUGGGGGGAGCAAACAGGAUUAGAUACCCUGGUAGUCCACGCCGUAAACGAUGAGUGCUAAGUGUUAGGGGGUUUCCGCCCCCCCCUUAGUGCUGCAGCUAACGCAUUAAGCACUCCGCCUGGGGAGUACGGCCGCAAGGCUG